rnacentral:rRNA from 1 species
GAUGAACGCUGGCGGCGUGCCUAAUACAUGCAAGUCGAACGGAAGCACUUCGGUGCUUUAGUGGCGAACGGGUGAGUAACACGUAGGUAACCUGCCCAUAAGACGCGGAUAACAGUUGGAAACGACUGCUAAUACACGAUAGGUAACUUGAGCGCAUGUUUAAGUUAUUAAAGGUCCGAAUGGACUACUUAUGGAGGGGCCUGCGGCGCAUUAGUUAGUUGGUGGGGUAAGAGCUUACCAAGACGAUGAUGCGUAGCCGGACUGAGAGGUUGAACGGCCACAUUGGGACUGAGACACGGCCCAAACUCCUACGGGAGGCAGCAGUAGGGAAUUUUCGGCAAUGGGGGGAACCCUGACCGAGCAACGCCGCGUGAAUGACGAAGCACUUCGGUGCGUAAAAUUCUUUUAUUAGGGAAGAAUGACAGAUGGAGGAAAUGCCAUGUGUGUGACGGUACCUAAUGAAUAAGCCCCGGCUAACUAUGUGCCAGCAGCCGCGGUAAUACAUAGGGGGCGAGCGUUAUCCGGAAUUAUUGGGCGUAAAGGGUGAGUAGGCGGAUGUGAAAGUCUUUGGUGUAAGUGCAGUGCUUAACGCUGUGAUGCUAAAGAAACUUCAUGUCUAGAAUCAGAUAGAGGCAAGUGGAAUUCCAUGUGUAGCGGUAAAAUGCGUAAAUAUAUGGAGGAACACCAGUGGCGAAGGCGGCUUGCUGGGUCUGGAUUGACGCUGAGGCACGAAAGCGUGGGGAGCAAACAGGAUUAGAUACCCUGGUAGUCCACGCCGUAAACGAUGAGUACUAAGUGUUGGAGAAAUUCAGUGCUGUAGUUAACGCAAUAAGUACUCCGCCUGAGUAGU